GACGAACGCUGGCGGCGUGCUUAACACAUGCAAGUCGAACGAAGUGGCGAACGGGUGAGUAACGCGUAAUCACCCUGCCCUUCAGAGGGGGACAACAGUUGGAAACGACUGCUAAUACCGCAUACUGAGGGAGGGGCUUGCGUCUGAUUAGGUAGUUGGAGGGGUAACGGCCCACCAAGGCGAUGAUCAGUAGGCGGUCUGAGAGGGUUAACGGCCAACUUGGGAAUGAGAAACGGCCCAGACUCCUAAGGGAGGCAGGAGUGGGGAAUCUUCCGGAAUGGACGGAAGUCUGAAGGAGCAACGCCGCGUGAGGGAUGACGGCUUUCGGGUUGUAAAGCUCUGUUAAUCGGGACGCGGUACCGGAAUAGAAAGCCACGGCUAACUACGUGCCAGCAGCCGCGGUAAUAC
rnacentral:rRNA from 1 species